rnacentral:rRNA from 1 species
AUUGAACGCUGGCGGCGUGCCUAACACAUGCAAGUCGAGCGGUAACAGGUGUAGCAAUACAUGCUGACGAGCGGAGAACGGGUGAGUAAUGCUUCGGAAUCUACCCAAUGGUGGGGAAUAACCAGCCGAAAGGUUGGCUAAUACCGCAUACGUCCCACGGGAGAAAGCAGGGGAUCGCAAGACCUUGCGCCAAUGGAUGAGCCGAAGUCGGAUUAGCUAGUUGGAGGUAACGGCUACCAAGGCGACGAUCCGUAGCUGGUCUGAGAGGACGACCAGCCACACUGGGACUGAGACACGGCCCAGACUCCUACGGGAGGCAGCAGUGGGGAAUAUUGGACAAUGGGGGAAACCCUGAUCCAGCGACGCCGCGUGUGUGAAGAAGGCCUGCGGGUUGU